rnacentral:siRNA from 1 species
AAACAGAUGGUUUCUGAUGGU